rnacentral:tRNA from 1 species
GGGGGAGUGGCGGAAUUGGCAGACGCGCAUGACUUAGGAUCAUGUGGAGCAAUCCGUAUGGGUUCGAGUCCCAUCUUCCCCA